CUCCAAGACACAUUCAGAUGCUUUUUUGAGGCCACUCUACGAAUGUUAUGCGGCCGUAUGCGUCCCAGAUCAUGGUGUGAGACACGUCGGACACCUCGUUCGCCCCUGUACGUCACGCUGACCACUUGCGCUCGAAUCACCCAGAACACACGUUAAUCCCAGGUGUAAUUUGAUGUUUUGUAGGCUCUGGAUGUGGACCUUGUUGCUGAUCCUGAAUUCCCUGCUGUGAUUGAUAACGUUAUUGACUUUGUGAGUGAGACCGAACAGGCCUCGGAUAUCACAUCAGACAUGAUUCAAGUCAGUAUGGCGGAGACUGAACAUCUUACUGCUGACACGGCAUCUUC